rnacentral:misc_RNA from 1 species
GACGUAGGAUGCAAGCGUUGUCCGGAUUCAUUGGGCGUAAAGAGUUCGUAGGCGGUUUGUUAAGUCUGAUGUUAAAGAUCGGGGCCCAACCCUGGGAGUGCAUUGGAUACUGGCAGACUGGAGUAUAGUAGAGGCGAGUGGAAUUCCCAGUGUAGCGGUGAAAUGCGUAGAUAUUGGGAAGAACACCGGUGGCGCAGGCGACUCGCUGGGCUGUUACUGACGCUGAGGAACGAAAGCUAGGGGAGCAAAUGGG